AUGGUCAGUCCUCCCUCGCCU
rnacentral:miRNA from 1 species